GCCAAAGUAUUCAAAACUGGCGUGAAGAACUUUAGCUGUACAUGUAAAUUCCACGCAUCCGACAUCUUUUGGGAUAAAAAAGCCAAAAGGUUAUCUUUGCGCUUGAUCAAAACAUUUAUCGUCAUUGUCCGACUGAAAAAAAAACUUUUGAUUUUAAAAUCGUUAUCGUCAAACGCCGAUAAUUUUAUCGUUUUCGUUGUAGCGUGGACACCAACAUAAUUUUUUUACCAAUCAUCGCGUGUUUACAAUUUAUCGUAUCGUUAUCGUUGUGUGGUGUGACCUGGGCUUAAUUAUCAAUGCUAUACCAAGACCUAAAAAAAAUACCUGUUGUUACGGUUUCCCGACCGACCCUAUUUUUUCUGCCCACCCUAUUAUUUUUUCAACAUGAUUGACCAAUGAGGAAAACUACACUGCAUGUAUGUAGCUGAGGUCGGACUGUUAGCACCCUUGGUAAGUCCACUGUAAAUGAGCGAUGGCAUUCGAGUCACAACGUCGACGCUUUGAAAACUGUUAUAUUAUGUUGUACAAAUACCAUAGUUAAAGAUUCAUUUGUAUAAAAUUGCCCAUACAUAUUUUGCUUUUGGACCAGUAAACUAUACGUAGGUACAAAAACUCAUGACUCGGAAGUAGUCUUAGGUACGUCUUGACUCUUUAGUUUGUACCAGAUCAGGUACGCGGCAAAAGUUGUCGGAGUACCAGUCAGGUACGGCUAAAAAAUUGAAUUAUCGCACCCUGACUUCCUUCUGGAAGGAAAUUUCCUUCCAAGUGGAAACGCUGGCUCAGCUCGCAAAUGUUAGAAUAAAAAGAUUGACAAGCGUUAAACUAUGGUUAAACGUCAUAAUGAAGUGUUAAUAGUGUACAUUUCCCUUGCGUAGUCCAAAUUUCUUCCUACUGUGACCUUUUGUUAGACACAAAAACGUUUGAUAUUCUAUCUCUCUGAAAACGACAGAGUUCCGGUUCCGGCCAUACUUUUUUUACUAGUUCCGGCCAGAACCGGAACUCUAAAAAAUCGGGGUUCCGGCCGGAACUAACCGACCGGAACCGAGUUCCGGUGCACCCCUACUAAAAUAAAGGCGAGUUUGAGCCAAAAUGUUUAAAUUCUUGUUUAUAUCAGAUGCGAAGUUCCAUCUUAGCCUUAACCAAGAAUUUUCAACUACAUUUAGUGUAUAACACAGUUUCUGAAGGCUUUCGAAAAUAAUGCUGACGUCAGCACUUUUAGUUUCCAAGACGCUGUAACUCAGGAGGAACUAAUCCUAUUGAUUCAAAAUUGAAUAAUGAUAUAAACAACAUAUAAAACUUCCAGUACGUAUUGUAACUGAAAUUCCUGGAGAUUGGACGGAAACCUGCAAAAGGCCCAUUUGAAAACAAACCUUUUUUAUCUGGGAAGUAUCAUUUCCAGAUUGCAUGCCCAAGUCUUAAUUUCAUACAUCGAAGAGCCUCGUCGCAUCAGGCCAGCCAAGCGGGUUACCAGACUUACUAGAAUACCAGCAAUAUUAUAUACUCGAUAAUAUACUGGCUCAAUAUAGUGCCAAUAUACCUAAAAUCCCAGCCUACUGUACGUCUGUCUGCCUGAGUACUUUAAUUAAUCUUGGGUAAAUGUAAGACAAUAAUUAGCCUUUCUCACGAUGACGAAUCACCGCCA
rnacentral:lncRNA from 1 species